rnacentral:lncRNA from 1 species
CGGCCCCUAAAAUUCCCCCAUGCCUCUUUUGUAACCAUCCCCUCUUCAAACCGCAGCCCUUGGCAACCACUAAUCUGUUUUUCUUCCUGUAGUUUGGCUUUCUUAAGAAUGUCGUAUAAACUGAGUCAUGGAGUAGGUAGCCCUUGGUAUCCUGCUUCUUUCAGCUAGCAUAAUGCAUGUGAGAUCCAUUCAUGCUGUUGUGCAAAACAGUAGUUUGUUUCUUUUUAUUGCUGAGUAAGGAUUUUAUUGUAUGGAAUGUACCAGUUUGUUUAUCCAUUCUCCAGUUGAGAAACAUUUGGGUAGUUUUUAGUUCCUGGUGAUGACAGAUAAAGCUGCUGCAAACAUUCAUGUGCAUAUUUUCGUGAGGAUGUAGUUUUCAUUUCACUUGAGUAAAUGCAAAGCAGUGAGAUUGCUGGGUCAUACAGAUGAAAAAGCCUCACAGCUUGCGGUGUUGACAGUAUUCUAGAAGACCCUACACCCCUGUGGCUUCUCGAUGACUAAUGUGGAGCCAGCAUCUGUCAGCACAAACUCAGAGUGAUUACCCAGAAAUAGGUAUCCUUCUAAUUAAAAUAUCUGACCAUGUCCCCAUCAGCCACUUGCCUCAUUUGGGACACCACCAACCAUCCUGCACGGCUGCCCAUGUUUCUGUUUCUCCAGCCCAAGCAUGCAGUUUCAGUAGGUCCUUCAGAGGCUGCCUGAAAGGAGCUCCUGAAUUUCACAGACAAAUCCAGACCCCUGUGUGGAAAGCCUGCGGUGGUGUUCUCCGUCUUCCCACAGGACUCCCUGCAGCCAGGAAUUCUAGGGGAGCACCUGACGCGAGGUAUACGCCCAGAUGGCCUGAAGUAACUGAAGAAUCACAAAAGAAGUGAAAAUGUCCUGCCCCGCCUUAACUGAUGACAUUCCACCACAAAGGAAGUGUCAAUGGCUGGUCCUUGCCUUAACUGAUGACAUUCCACCGCAAAAGAAGUGAAAAUGGCCGGUCCUUGCCUUAACUGAUGACAUUACACCACAAAAGAAGUGAAAAUGGCCGGUCCUUGCCUUAAGUGAUGGCAUUACCUUGUGAAAGUCCUUUUCCUGGCUCAUUCUGGCUCAAAAUCACCCCCACUGAGCACCUUGUGACCCCCACUCCUGCCCGCCAGGGAACAAUCCCCCUUUGACUGUAAUUUUCCUUUACCUACCCAAAUCUUAUAAAAUGGCCCCACCCCUAUCUCCCUUUGCUGACUCUCUUUUUGGACUCAGCCUGCCUGCAUCCAGGUGAUUAAAAGC